rnacentral:rRNA from 1 species
UACGGAGGGUGCAAGCGUUAAUCGGAAUUACUGGGCGUAAAGCGUGCGUAGGCGGUUCGUUAAGUCUGUUGUGAAAGCCCCGGCUCAACCUGGGAAUGGCAAUGGAUACUGGCGAGCUAGAGUGUGUCAGAGGAUGGUGGAAUUCCCGGUGUAGCGGUGAAAUGCGUAGAGAUCGGAAGGAACACCAGUGGCGAAAGCGGCUUCCUGGUCCA